CACACCCCCUAAUUGGUUCACCUCGCCGUACUGUUGCUGCUGCUGUUGUUGAUGGGGUUGUUGCUGCUGUUGCUGCUGCUGAUCUGCACCGAGUUCGCUCCCGUUACUCUCUGUCCGUAAACAACGUCGAACGGUUCUUUGAUGUCGAGGAUCGAAAGCUCCUUUCUUCAUUUUGCAUCUAUUUGAAGUGGCGUGCAGUAGAAAUAGAGAGGUGAACGGAUAUCCGUGAAGGAAGUACGAAGUCGUCAUCGAGGAACGCGAGUGUACUUUCCUCCGUCCAUGGAAGGGGCAAAAUUUAUGUGGCUUGGCCCUUUCUCCCUUCGGUUACGUCGGUCUCCAUAUUCCCUACUCAUCGUCUCUCUUUUCUACGCGAACGCCGAGCUGACGUACGCGUUACGGAGAAGAGGAAUAAAUAAGAAAACCGCGGCGGAAAGGAGGGCCCUACGAUGCCUCCGUGAUUCCUGGAAGAAGAGUUUCGUCGGCGACGCCGCCGACCGUAGAGACGCGUUUUUGCGCGGCCACCGGCCACCAUUUUUUUUUUCUUCGUCCCCCUUUUCGACAUCCCCUCGAUCUCCCCGUAAUGGCGGCUUCUUGGCAGAGGCGCGAAACACGCGCCCUUUACGCCACGUUUCCACCAUCGACGAUCCUCUAUCAAUUUACGUGGGGCAAGUUUGUUUUAGAACUUACGACGCUUGAAGUAAUUUUCAAAUGGUGCGAUCUCGCCACUUUCGUUUCUUUCGCUGUUCGCUGAUAGAUAUUUACUUAUUUAUCUGUCUAUUUAUUUAUCUAUCUAUACAUGGAAAAACGAUCUAUUACGGAUUACAGUUACGAUACUUCACGUACUCGACGUGGAGCAGUAAAGACGAAUAAAACAAUAUUAUCGUGUAUUUUAAAAGAUUACAUAAAAACAACGAUAUAAUUUAGACGGUUAUAAUAAAUAACACGUAGAGUGGAAGUUUUGAAGAAUUUGAAAGAUUCAGGAAGAGAGUCUACGGUGUUACGUAUUUCAUUGCUGUGUAUAUACACAUGUUCUAUUGGACCUAUUGGAUCAGGGUAAAGUAAGUUAGCUGUGUAGUAAUUUUGUGAAAAAAGUGGAGAGGAACGAAAAGGUCUGGAAGGGUCAUCGAGUCGCGUUUUACUUGAUGUUAGAUUUAUAUUAGAUCGUUAUAUUUUAUAUUAGAUAUGGUAUGGAUUAAAACAGUUCAUUUUUUUUUUUGUUAAUAAAUUGAAACAGAAAGAUAAGAUCGUCAAUGCGUCUCCGUUCUUCUGGAGAACGUAGACGAAGGGAAUUUUGAGCCAGCUCAUAGCUGUGAUCGUUUUUUAGCAUUGAAUUUUCUUCGUCUUAUCUAUCCAGUUAUCGUAUCAAUAAAGCGUUUCAAAGA